CGCCUGGUAGGCGGGGUUGCGCGCCCGACCUCCUUGUUCCUAUCACCUCUCUCCGCUUCAGAACCUCGGCCUUCUCUCCCGAGCUCCGCCACCUCCCUGCUAGACAGACGCCAGAGAGCACUGGCCGGUCCAACUGAGGAGAGUCCGCGGAGCCGUGCGGUCCGCGCCUCGGUGCUGCCGCCAGCUGCAGGGCGCGCAGUUCUUUUGAGUUGCAGGAAGCCGGAGUCUGGAAGGCCGGUUAUCCUAGCCCCAGGCCUGUGUCGGAGGAGUCACCGCUAUUCCCCGGCCUGGCUGCGCUCCCGCGCUGUGCUGCGAACGCAGACGUGCUCGCCCGCCCCUGCGGCACACAGGUCGUGUUGCUGCUGUGCAUGGCAGCUGUGAGGAGAGCACAAUUUACAGCGAGUUUGCUCUUGGCAGAUGUCGGUUCUCACAGGGACAGGAGACUGCGUCUUGUACAUGUCAUCACUUCCCCACGCCUCCCAGGUCUGAGAUCCACCUUCGAGAGGGCACAGCUGUGACUCACGGGGCGGCAGACUAUUUCCUGUGGUGCUAUUUCUCUGGAAUUUGCUGGAAAUUUCCUGGUAGGGUGCAAGGGAAAGCUGCUCAUACACAGGUGUCUCAUUGGAGACAUUCCACUAUGAAAGUACCAGAAGAGGUACCUGCUACUGGCCACCAUGGACGCAGAAGAGAACAGUUUGCAGAAGCUGUCCCAGAGGACUUCCUGCUGGUCUCCACUGUGCAGAUUAGGCACUCAGCAGUAGCAUUAGCCAAGUCAGCCUUCAUGAGGGUCACCUUUGAGUGUCACUGAAGGGCUAUACUUCUCUACUGGGAUGGCAUCAGCAUAUUGUACAGAUCCGUCUAUAUACCAGGCAAUGCAUCAUAUAUAUUAUACCCUCAAAAUAUUUUGGUAUCAUCUGUAAUCUUUUCAGCCUUCCUUCUGUGAGAAUCUUCAAUUUUCCAAAGGAGUCUAGACCCACAAUUCCUCAAAAGCAUGCCUUCCCAUGACCUUGGUGCAAGCUCAGCAAGUUUUAAAUCUGGACACUAGUAAAAAUACUUUUACAAUUCCCUUUUCUAUUGUUUGGGAUUCACAGUGACACAUUUAUAUCUGGACUGUUUAUAAACAAAUACAUUUCAAACAGCCCAAUUCAGUGCAAUGGCACUUUAAAACCCAGAUUUGUAACUUUGGGAGGAAGUCCAAAGUGAGUUAUCAGAUGACUGAUGCACAGAUGAUGAUGGUGAUGAUGAUGAUGAUGAUCACUUUGAUGUUGGCCAUUUGAGCCAAAGUUCCUGUGACAGUGAAAUGGAGUAAGAAUCAACUGAUGCAGACACAGAGAAUGAAGACCUCCUUGAUUCAGAUGAGGAAGAAAACAAUGCUGAGUACAUACUUAACUAGUCAAAACACAGCAAAAUGGUCUACAUGUCUGAAUGGUCCAAUGUUAGGACUAGAUCCAAAAAUAUAAUUAGGUUCUUGGCAGGGGUGAAACUGGAGUGGCAGCACUAUGGUUCAAUGUUGGAAAUUGUUUCUAACAGAUGAUAUUCUACAAGACGUUGUGAAAUACAAAAAUGAUGAAAUAUAAGUAAAACCUUCUGUAUGCACUGAUAGUCAGACUUGAAAAUGUAUUUAUUAUACUCUCUCACUCACCGAACUGAGAACAUUCAUAGAUCUGCUGUAUUUAGCAGGGCUUUUUCGUGGUAAUUGCAGAAAUGUAAGACUUUUGGAGAAGUGAUGGGUGUGGGAUUGAGGUCUGUAGAAUAACAACACUGAGGAGAUUUGGUUUCCUUCAAAAUUGCCUGAGGUUUGAGGACAAAACCCCCACCAAAAGAGAGAAAGAACCCAUAAUCUGGCUGCUAUCUGCUCCUUGUUUGAGGGCUUUGUUUCAAAAUGUCAAGCAUUUUGCACAACAUCUAAAUAUUUGACUACUGAUGAGCAGCUUGCAGCAUUUCGUGGUUGCUGUAACUUUAGGUAGUAUUUGCCAAAUAAGCCUUCAAAAUAUGGCAUAAAAAUAUAUACUCUGGUAGGUGUAAAGACAUAUUAUACUUUCAAUUCAGAAAUUUAUCCUGGAACACAGUUGCCAGGUCUUUAUUCAUACAGUAAUAAACCAAAUUAUGUUGUAAACAAUCUUCGUGCUCCUAUCUCCCAAACUAAUCAGAAUGAGACAUUCAACAAUUGGUUUACCAGUUACCCGUUGAUGUUACAUUUGCUUACAGCAUGAAUUGACCAGUAUAGGAACUAUAUGCAAAAAAAACCCCAGAAAUUCCUAGUGAAAUGUUGCAAGUUCAAAAUAGAGAAUUAUAUAGAGAAUUUUAUAACAAAUAAUAAUAAUAAUUUUUUUAAAAAAACCAUAACAUUGGCCUUGUUUGUAUAUGGCAAAUAAAAACAAAGUGGUACUGCUAAUGUCAACACUGUAUCAUGAUGGCAAGAUGGACAAAGAAAAUUCAACAAAAAUGAAGCUAGAGACUAACUUUUUACAACAAAACCAAAGGUGGAGUAGAUGUUGUUAACUACUUAUGCAGCAACUAUGAUGUCACUUGAAACACAAAGUGUUGACCAAUGUUGUAUUUUACUCUAUCCUAAAUAUGUAUGACAUUACUAGUUUCAUAGUUUACAAAGAAAAUACAAGUAUAAAAUAUCACAGAGAAAUUUUCUUAUAGGACUGGGAUUGAAAU